AACGAGGUCGUUUACUUCGGUUAAUUAUUCAAAUUACUGAAAAACACGGAGAAAACCGCAACCGCAUUGCCAUGUGUUUUUCCAAGAUGUAUGCAAACAGGGGAAAUAUCACCAAACCAACAAUUCAUUUUACCAAAACCUCACUAUAUAUCAUCAUUUGUAUGCACAGAUUGCUGGAUUGGAUGCAUUGUGUGUUGUAAGCUUUUCGUGGCGCUAGAUGUCAGACAGAUGCAAAUGGCAAAUACAUACGAAAGUGUAAAACGUGUAUGGCGAACAUUUGUUUUUCUGUCAUUAACGUUAUAGAUGCUAGUUUGGUGAAAGUACACACUGAGUGCUUCAAAUCAUUCAGAAGAGAUGCUGUUUUUAAGGGCAGUUUAUUAAAGAAGACCUGACAUGGAUGACUUCCAAUGAGAAACGACUGCUAAUACUUAUAUAAAUUCAUUACAGAAGGACCCUACCAGACUAUAUUUGAAUACGGCAUACCCAUGAAUUCUGAACUGUUAUUCCUUAACCCAGUUUGGAGGAUAAGAGCUUACCAACUAGUUAUAAAUAUGCUGAGGUGAUGUAUUGCAAAAUAGCCAACAUACAACAAUUAAAGGAUAAUUGCAGACUACAUCCUGAUGAAGAUAUGGAUGACCCUCUGUCUGGUCAACAAUAGUUUAAAUAUGGACGGGACAGUGAUGUGGCAGCUCUUCCCUGGCUCAUUCACUUCUUGCCUUCAUUUGUGAAAGGAAGAAAGACUGGAGAGGGUCAAUGUGCAACUGAAGCUACUGAUUGUGCUGUGUGAUGAGCAUCAAUCCAUGCUUUGAGGUGGAUGGAUCAGCACAGCCCUGCCUGCUCUGCGUUGGGAACAGAAGUUGCAUCCAGAGUUUUUGCAUUAUUCUGGACCAAAAAGCCAUUCCCUGCAUGAUGAAGACCACUGAUGCAGCCUUCCACUACAUCAUAAGUAAAACAACUACAGAACUAAAUACCAGGUUGGAACGUGUUUAAGAAAAAUGAAAAGUCUUUUGAAUUGAAAUGUCUGUUUUGUUAUGGAAAAAUCUUUAGUAUUGUGAAGGAUAAGCAUUUCUGCCUGCCAGUAAGGUAAUUGCAGUGUAUUUUAAUAGUCAAGUUUUGAGUAGGGUGGCUAAUUUUUUUUAACUCUCAUUUGAUUUAUUAAAGACCUUAUAAUAAUUGGUUUUCAUGUCACUGCGCUGUGGUAUAAGAUAACUUUAAUUAUUUCAUACUGUAUUCCGUUUCUAAUUGUAGCUGAGGUAUUUAAAUAAGCAGUGUUAAAUGCAAAGUGUUGUGUGUAUCAAUGUAAAUAUUAAAUGUGAUGUACUUUAAUAAAAAGAGGUUUUGCAAUAUUUCUUGUCAUUUGUCUUUUAUAGAAACAACCCAUUAGCAACAAAAGUGGCUAUUAAUCAGUAUUUUAACACUUAACAUUGUUGAAUUCACAUUACACUGGUGUUGACAUUAAAUUAGGAGUGUUAAUUUUUAACACUGUAUUUGUGUGCCAACACCAGUGUAGUGUGGAAACAACAAUGAAUAGUGUUGAACAAAGUGUAAAAUUUAACAAUAUUGAGUGUUGAAUUAACAUUUAAUGGGUGUUGGCAAAUUAACACUACACUUUUGACUAAAUUAACACAGUGUAGUGUGGACACAUAUACACACUUUGCCAGUGUUAAAUUUGACACCGUGGGUGUUAUUUUAACACCAGUGAUUUUGCUGUGUAGG